UACGUAGGGUGCGAGCGUUAAUCGGAAUUACUGGGCGUAAAGCGUGCGCAGGCGGUUCGACAAGUCCGAUGUGAAAGCCCCGGGCUCAACCUGGGAAUGGCAUUGGAAACUGGCGAGCUUGAGUGUGGCAGAGGGGGGUGGAAUUCCGCGUGUAGCAGUGAAAUGCGUAGAGAUCGUAAGGAAGACCAGUGGCGAAGGCGAGUUUCUGGACAGUUACUGACGCUGAGGCACGAAGGCCAGGGGAGCAAACGGG
rnacentral:rRNA from 1 species